GCUGAGUCCUAUCUCCUGAUUGCUUCCAGAAGGAAGUUUCAGAAGAUUAUUCAUCCCCUCAUGAGAAACCCACCCUGGGUUUUCACUGGGCCUCAGCUUUGUGGAACUAGCACUAUAUUCCUCGCUGAAUCUCUUGGUUCAAAGCAAGAGGAGGCUGCCAAGCACUAAGGCCUUUGAAGAAACUGGCUAGAAGCGCAGAUCCAGUUGCCUAAGAGACAGGGCUGUGGUGGGCGCCAUCUUGGGGAGGAGGAUUGCGCACCGCACACCUGACACGGUUCCUGACACCGUGUUCCCGCGGAAGAUCUGUACCACCGCUGGUUAUGGGUGCCCCGCGGGAUCCUAAAAGUCUCCACACAUAGGAAAACAAUGUCCUAUGUGUAGAUAUCUACUCAUGUCUUCACAUGCUCGAACUCUCAAGUUCUGAAAGAAGUGUAAAUUAAGACACAUAAAGAAACAGGGGUAGCAGAAACUCAAAGAAAAGUGUCACCACUUACAUCCAUUUUGAACUGAAGAAGGAAGUUUUCCUGAAGAGCCAGAAUCCUAAACGGGGAAAAAGAAUAGAACCCACAUGACCUUCUGUAAGCUUUCCCAUCAGUCAGCAAAUUUACAGCUUGGAGAGAGGGGAGAAGGUCGAUGGUUUCCAUGUUAUCCUGACGAUCUGUACAGGCACCUGAAAUGUGAGCAUUCCUACAUGACAAAUGCAAGGAAAGUGAUGGGCAAACUUUACUAGAGAUUAGCCUUCGCUAUAAAAAAAAAAAAAAAAAAAAAAAUUUUAAAGAUCUUUCCUGAUGGGAAACCAUAGAUUGUAGGCUUCUGAAAAUUCUUCCCACAAAAGCAGUAAGAAAACUGGACCGAAUGGUCAGAGGAAAGUUUGCAGAACUUAAAGGCUUUGUCGAUCUGGGGAGUGCUCAUUCUGUGAAAAGAGGAAAAGGAAUCAACAGGGAGUGGUGGUGCAGGUCUGUAGGUCCCACACUGUGGAUACUGAGGCAGGAGACUUUUGAGUUUAAAACAACCUGGGUUUCAAAGACACUGUCUCAAGGAACCAAAAUAAAAUGAAAACCACACAGAAAGCCAGCUACAUCCUGCCAAGAACAAGAAAUGUUGGGGCAUUUUGUUUUCCCACCUGUACACUGAACCCCCGAGGAGAGAUUUGGAACUCACUGCACUAGCCAUUUAAGGAAGCCUGGCCAGAAACUGUGGCUUAGUGGUUGAGAAGUAGCCUAGCAUGGGCAAGGCCUCUAUGCCCAGCUCCCACUUCAUCCAUAAAAAAAACAAAACUACCUCUUUCCAGACGUGAACUGACCAUUGAGCUACCCAAGAAGUGACCUGGGUGGAUACACAUAAUGACAAGAAUAGACUGCAUGGAACUAGUUCAGAAAUGCCACCAAACAAACAAACAAAGGCAUGAUCACCCACAAAUGUAUGGAAAAGCAAACAGAGCCCUCAGUCUGAAAUGAGAGGACACCAGGCAGAAGCUGGAGUCCACUGAAGAGUGGAGAGACAGCUCAGUGGUUAAGAGCCCAGUAGAGCAUCCAGUUUCCAUUCCCAGUACAUGACAGCUCAUAACCUUCUGUAGCUCCAGAUUCUGGGGAUCUGAUGCCCUCUUUCAGGUUUCAAAGGCAAAAAGUAUGCAGUUGAUGCACAGACUACAUACAUGCACCCAAAACCCUUCUACAUACACAUUUUAAAAAGAGUCACAAUGAAUGCCA